UUCGGGGGUACACGAGCGGCGAACGGGUGAGUAACACGUGAGCAAUCUGCCCUUCACUUUGGGAUAACCACCGGAAACGGUGGCUAAUACCGAAUAUGACCAGUCUCUGCAUGGAGUGCUGGUGGAAAGUUCCGGCGGUGGAGGAUGAGCUCGCGGCCUAUCAGCUUGUUGGUGGGGUAAUGGCCUACCAAGGCGACGACGGGUAGCCGGCCUGAGAGGGUGACCGGCCACACUGGGACUGAGACACGGCCCAGACUCCUACGGGAGGCAGCAGUGGGGAAUAUUGGACAAUGGGCGAAAGCCUGAUCCAGCAACGCCGCGUGAGGGAUGACGGCCUUCGGGUUGUAAACCUCUUUCAGUAGGGACGAAGCUAACGUGACGGUACCUACAGAAGAAGCACCGGCCAACUACGUGCCAGCAGCCGCGGUAAUACGUAGGGUGCGAGCGUUGUCCGGAAUUAUUGGGCGUAAAGGGCUCGUAGGCGGUUUGUCGCGUCGGGAGUGAAAACUCGGGGCUUAACUCCGAGCCUGCUUCCGAUACGGGCAGACUAGAGGUAUGCAGGGGAGAACGGAAUUCCUGGUGUAGCGGUGAAAUGCGCAGAUAUCAGGAGGAACACCGGUGGCGAAGGCGGUUCUCUGGGCAUUACCUGACGCUGAGGAGCGAAAG
rnacentral:rRNA from 1 species